UUAAGAGUGUUUCCGGAAGUUACCACCACCCACAUCACCACCUUAAUACCGGAAAUGGUCGGUACGGUUUGGGAAGUGGUCGGUACUGCAGCUUCCGGAAACUUUGUCGCCCCCUUUUUACUACUAAUGGUAAAUGCAGCCAAUGAACUGAUUCCAAUUCCCCAUAUACUGAAAGUUCAAACGGAAAUCGGUGUAACCAAAAUUAUUUUGGCAAAAUAUGCAGAUUCGGUCGAUCGAUAACUGUACAAAACUUUGUCAAUUUCCUAACGAAAAAGCUUGACCUUCGCUCACCAGAAUGCUAUGCUCUGUGUGCGGAAGUUUAUAACAAUGCGUACGAACCAAAAAUGAUCUCCAUUCUUGACCCCAAAGAAUUGGUUUCCAAAAUCGUAAUUCGACUUCGUAGAGUUAAGAAACUCCGAUACAUGCUCAGGUUAACCUUCCUGCCGAAAAAAAUCAAGACUUUUAUCGAUUACGAUCCCAAGAGUUACGAAUAUUAUUACACCCAGUGUGUUAAUGAUCUAAUUCUGGACAGAUUUUCACUCGAUCUAUACAAGGAACCAUUCAUAGUGUUCCGUUUAUGUGCUAUUAAAUAUUAAUAAUUUUAUUAAUAUAUUAAGGCCAUUAAAUAUUACCAUCAAAUUUUCACUGAGGAGGAAACGGGAAUAAAACAGAUUCACACCUCUUGGAAUUCUGGACCUAAAUGGUGGACUGCUUCAGAUGUACUAUUAUCGCGGAUUGCUCCAAGAUAUUAUGGCCCACACAUGGUUAGAGUUGCCCCCUGGUCAUAUCCAAAAGCAAAUCCAAAUGAGUUACGAGCGGUUGACUUUUCCAAGCCAUUGAAAUCCUCAAGUCUUGA